GCUUCUAUAGUAAAAUUAUUAUGUUUGCUUUCCAAGCAAAAGUUUCGGUGAAGGCCGAUAGCAGUA
rnacentral:tRNA from 1 species